UCUGCCUACUGCAAAUCUGGAUGUGUGUUCUAUUCACCUGGAUAUAUCCGCGGUGUGCCGCGCGAUUCGGGUCAGUGGAUCACAUAACCGCAUUUUUUCGCCUGUUCGCGACUCAAUUUUUCAAUUAACCGAACGCUGCGGUUCAUCCACGGACAUACUUUCGCCAUUCUUCACGAAGAUUACCAUCCGCUAGAUACGUUAUCAAGUGUAAUAUUUUAAUUCCGUUUCGAUUUCCACGGUACGGUUCGCCUCGAGAGGAUUGAUGGCCUGAUGAUUCGCUUGGAACGCGUCCAUGGAAACCAAACGUGAACGAUCGCGAGAAUCGAGAUCGUUUAAUUCUUGAAUGAGAGCAGAACGUUUAGAAAAAUAAUUAUGUAAAUUGAGCUUUUUAACGAUCAGGUUUAUGAUUUUCUAUGGGAAAAUUUUUUGAAGUACUUUGUGAUCAAUUAACCCUUUCAAUAUCGAUUAAUAGUAUGAAAAAAUCUAAACUAACAUUGUCAACGGAUUUUAUAUACAGUCAAUUAUGUGAAUUUAUUGUAUUUUUGUGGAAACGAGUUUAACGAAGAUGCGAAUGAGAAAGAAGGUACUUCUUACGAAUUGUAAAAAGAUUUUAGGGAGAACAGCUUAUAAAAGAUUGUACACGACACUGUGUAGACAAAAAAGUUGAAUUAGUAGUGCCGAGAUUCUUCUUUUAUCGACUAUCAGAGUAGUAAAACACAAAGGAUGACAUAUCUGCUAUCUCGGUAACUCUCGUUACAAUCUUUAUUACAUAAUUUUAUACAAGGCGAGUAACACGGUAAUAUAGAUCAAGUUACGAGGCAAAGAUACAGGGCAUAACGAGAUAGAUAGCCAUAUCUUCCUGUAAAUACUUGAAUACUUUUGCGUUUAUUAACAAGGUUAUAAUUUUCAGUAAUUUACUUUUACAUGAGGAUCGAUACACUUUCUUUUAACAGCGCUGUCGAUGCUAUCUUCGAUAGUACUCUGUCACAAAAUAUGUGAAAAAAUAUGUGAAUGAUAUUAAAAAAUAUAAUAAUUCACUUGAGAAUAUUCAUGAAGUUAAAACAUAUAAAAUAAAGAAAUACAGUAUGUGCUUUUGUCAUGCUUAAUACGAAAAGGUAUAUUUAAAAAUGUGAAUAUGAAAAAUUUUAUGAAAAUGUGAAAAGGUACCCACAUUUAAUGUUUGACAAAGUACAUUAAAGAUUCAUUUAAAGACAUGAAAAUAUAAUAAAAUAUAUUUGGAAAAAUUAGCAGAAAUAUUCUGGUUUUUAGUAACUAUGAUUGAUGAAAUUUUGUUUUAGUUAUGAAUAACCGUUAUCGGCAAUGAAAACAAAUUUUUUCGGCUACUGCUAAUUAGUAUUAGCGACAGAAAUGUUUUUUAAUUAAUUACAGACCGUUCUUGUUUACCAACAAGCAUUAUGGUUAGUGAAAAUAUUACCACGUUACUAAUAAGUAUUAUCGAUAGCGAACAAAUGUUUUAGACGCUUUAGAUCAUCGUCAUUAGUACUAAGCAUCAAUUAUCAGUAACUACUUACCUAUGUUACUAAAAUUUGACGUCAAAUGAAUUAAUUUCCUUUACCAAAAUUGCUUACUAAAAUCAGUAACCAGAAAGUGUUUUACGUAACACGUUGUAUAUAAUUAAAAGCAAUUUCCGUCAAUGAUAACUAUUACCAGUAAGCAAAAAUGCUUUAAACAUCUGCAAUGAUCAUACAUAACCGGUAUUUUAAAUUAAUUUAAAAAUCGAUACCUUUUAAUUAUUUCAUCCUUUGAAAAAUUUCUUUAAGGUUUAGUGCUCUUCUAUCUUCUAUUUACGAAAAAAUUGAUUUUUUCUUCUUGAUGUUUCUCGUACAGAUUUAAAGCACAACUGAUAUUUGUUCGUCGUUGUUGAAAAAUCAACAAACAAACAUACCAAGGUCUUCUUACAAUCGCAAGAAAUGGCACGUCUCAAAUACCAGCAGCCCGGUAAUCUCCACUCAAGCAGACACCAAAAAUCCUCUCAGACCUAUCAUCGAACCCCUAACAGAGACAUUACAACCACCGUCAUCCCCUCGAUUCCACCACUCGAGCGCAACCCUCGACACGAAAUAAUGCUCAAAAGCAAGCGAGGGGUUAGGAAAAGCUGUGGCACGAGGACACGUGCGACACGCGACUAUGUAAACGUUACACGCGUGACACGCGUAAGACGCGUAACACACACACACGCGCGCGCACACGUACGAAAACGUGUCACAAUGAUGUUCUCCAAACCUAACUUCCGUCAUGCUCGAUACAUGACCUUAGCCCUGGAAACUGGUGAUUAAUAUCGCGGGUCACAGGAAGGUUAAAAAGAGGUUAGAAAAAAGAAGUGGAAUGGAAUAAAAGAGGAAGGCUAAGAGAAAGGGUCGUUUCCCAUAAAACCCGGCCACUGUAUUCAGGUCACGAAUUUAUGGUACCGUGAAGCUUUAAACGGAAGAACCGCCUUUUUGUAAGAAAAAUUUUAUUUUUCCGCGAUAUUAAAUUAGGAAAAUGAUUUUAUCGCUCUACGUAAGACCUUUCAUUCGAUUGUUGUCCGUAUAGGAUUAAAAGGUUAUGAUAUUUUUGUUCGUUCCUUUCGGCUCUCUUAAAAGGCGGUAUUUUUCGUGAAUGAAUAAAAUAACGGUUAAUAGUAUCAGUGGAUGUUAAAUGUUAUCUCAAAUACUACAUUUUCAUAGAAUUCCAUGCAUGCCAGUUUGUGGCUGGAUUUUUUUUAAACUAAAUCGCAUCGUGGAAAAUAACUUUGUAAAAUUUACAAACGAUAACUGGAUUGACCGUAUAACUUGACAUUAGAAAGAUUUUUAGGAAAAGAACCCAAGGACAUCCAUUUUCUAUAUUUUGCAUGAAGAUGUUUAAUGAAACGCAGGAAAUUCAAAUUCUAAAUUUCAGAUCGAAUCUGGUGCCAUUUACGACAGAGAAAAAUAUGUAAAACGGAGUCAUGCGACACAUCUGAGGUAACAGUUGCGUGUAAAUUCGUUGCGUGGACUUUCACGCAAUGUAGCUUAAAUAACAUUUGCAAUUUCUCUAAUUAGAAGAAUUUUUUAAUAGUCCCUUUCUCGCAUCUUUCACAUUUUCGUGGCUGACUCAGCCCAAAAGAGUAAUUAAAUUUCGCUAAAAGGAAAGUAAACGUUUGUUAAAAAAUAACACGAUUGAUAAAAAAGUGGGAAAGCUUAUCUGACAUUUUUUAAUGGAUCUCAGUUAAAAGUCGUCGUAUUAUGGGUCACCUAAUGAAAUUUCAUUCUCACGGAUGUCGUCUGUGCGCAGUGGAUUCGUUUGGAAGAGGUAAAUGUUUGUUGAAUGUGUUGACAGGUUUAUCUUCGAAUCUUUGAAACGGUUUAAGUGAAAGAAGUUCGUGUAAAAUCACAAAACGACUGUGUUGCUAAUGGCACUGCCGUUUACAAGUGUUUGCACAUUCUUUAAAGAAGUAUUUGUCAUUCGGAUAAAUUAACACGAAACAAGUGUGACAGGGAUUAAUGGAAUUAUGUACAUAUCGAGGAGACGUUGACUAUAUAAUAGUCAAGCAGUAUUUGACAUCUCGAAUUCUUCAACACAUUCCUUACCAGAUCAAGAUAAACGAACUUUUAGAAUAACCCAAAUUCAUUUUCUUAUUUCUGUGAUUUUAUUCUUCCUUUUUUUUAUGAUUAUAAAUAUUUUACUUAGCAUGGGUUAUUUGGCAUAUUCUGAAAAACGAGCGAUAUACAUAUAAAUAUAAAGGAGAGUCAUUUAAUACUAAAAGGACUAGUGGCUUUUACUAACAACCAUAUUCACCCACAACACUUUUGACUUUAAGAAAAGAUGAGUAUCUUUACUCGUGUUUUGUUUGAGAUACUGAUAUAUUCUUAAGCAACUAUUUUCAAUAUAUAAGAGAUAAUUUUUUAAGAUAAAUUUUAGUUGUUUUGAUGAUUAGAAUGGAUUCUUCAAAAUUGUUACACGUAACUAUAAAUAUAACAGCACGAGCUCUGAGUCGGAGCUAUUUUCAUAUGUAUACAUAUAUAUACUUGCGAAGACCAUAAUUCUGUAAAAUACAACCAGAUUUUCUAACAGAGGUAUCACAUGGUAUAUUUAUCGAUCCUUAUUUUAUCUGUAACAGCUUUGUUACACUCUGGAGAAAAGCGCAUGCAUCGAAGCGAGCAACUGUUUGAGAGGAAUACUGUGUACAAAUUGUCUUUAAACAGAGACUAUUCUUCGUCGUCUGUUCUAUCGAAGGAACUUCACCAACUCCAUAUCAACUUUCAAACUUUCUGUCACGAUCGACGAAAUCCUAUCUUAGCAUGCACCAAUUCCUUCUUACUGCAAUUCCAGGCUGAAAUCUCAUCAUCCAUUAGGAAACAACAUUACGCAGAAU